rnacentral:misc_RNA from 1 species
AAGACUAUAGACCUGCGGAGUACCUGCGGAGGGAUCAUUACCGAGUUAUACAACUCCCAAACCCACUGUGAACCUUACCUCAGUUGCCUCGGCGGGAACGCCCCGGCCGCCUGCCCCCGCGCCGGCGCCGGACCCAGGCGCCCGCCGCAGGGACCCCAAACUCUCUUGCAUUACGCCCAGCGGGCGGAAUUUCUUCUCUGAGUUGCACAAGCAAAAACAAAUGAAUCAAAACUUUUAACA